rnacentral:rRNA from 1 species
AGAGUUUGAUCCUGGCUCAGGAUGAACGCUAGCUACAGGCUUAACACAUGCAAGUCGAGGGGCAGCGGGAUUGAAGCUUGCUUCAAUUGCCGGCGACCGGCGCACGGGUGAGUAACGCGUAUCCAACCUUCCGUACACUCAGGGAUAGCCUUUCGAAAGAAAGAUUAAUACCUGAUGGUAUGAUGAGAUUGCAUGAUAGCAUCAUUAAAGAUUUAUCGGUGUACGAUGGGGAUGCGUUCCAUUAGGUAGUAGGCGGGGUAACGGCCCACCUAGCCAACGAUGGAUAGGGGUUCUGAGAGGAAGGUCCCCCACAUUGGAACUGAGACACGGUCCAAACUCCUACGGGAGGCAGCAGUGAGGAAUAUUGGUCAAUGGACGAGAGUCUGAACCAGCCAAGUAGCGUGAAGGAUGAAGGUCCUACGGAUUGUAAACUUCUUUUAUAAGGGAAUAAACCCUCCCACGUGUGGGAGCUUGCAUGUACCUUAUGAAUAAGCAUCGGCUAACUCCGUGCCAGCAGCCGCGGUAAUACGGAGGAUGCGAGCGUUAUCCGGAUUUAUUGGGUUUAAAGGGAGCGCAGACGGGUCGUUAAGUCAGCUGUGAAAGUUUGGGGCUCAACCUUAAAAUUGCAGUUGAUACUGGCGUCCUUGAGUGCGGUUGAGGUGUGCGGAAUUCGUGGUGUAGCGGUGAAAUGCUUAGAUAUCACGAAGAACUCCGAUUGCGAAGGCAGCACACUAAUCCGUAACUGACGUUCAUGCUCGAAAGUGUGGGUAUCAAACAGGAUUAGAUACCCUGGUAGUCCACACGGUAAACGAUGGAUACUCGCUGUUGGCGAUAUACUGUCAGCGGCUUAGCGAAAGCGUUAAGUAUCCCACCUGGGGAGUACGCCGGCAACGGUGAAACUC